UUUAAGUGCAACUAUAAAUUUCAAUGUCUAACCUAGAUGGUUUAUUUUAUUUAAUUUUUGUUAUAAGUAGUAUUUUUAUUAUUACUAGAUGAUAAAAUAUGAAUAGUAAAUUAUGUGUGAUUAAUAAUUUAAUUUUUUUAAAAAUAAGACAGACGAUCAAAAAAUUAGGUAUGGAAAACAAUACACUGCUACUCCG
rnacentral:pre_miRNA from 1 species